GAUGAACGCUGGCGGCGUGCCUAAUACAUGCAAGUCGAGCGAACAGACGAGGAGCUUGCUCCUCUGACGUUAGCGGCGGACGGGUGAGUAACACGUGGAUAACCUACCUAUAAGACUGGGAUAACUUCGGGAAACCGGAGCUAAUACCGGAUAAUAUAUUGAACCGCAUGGUUCAAUAGUGAAAGACGGUUUUGCUGUCACUUAUAGAUGGAUCCGCGCCGCAUUAGCUAGUUGGUAAGGUAACGGCUUACCAAGGCAACGAUGCGUAGCCGACCUGAGAGGGUGAUCGGCCACACUGGAACUGGGACACGGUCCAGACUCCUACGGGAGGCAGCAGUAGGGAAUCUUCCGCAAUGGGCGAAAGCCUGACGGAGCAACGGCGCGUGAGUGAUGAAGGUCUUCGGAUCGUAAAACUCUGUUAUUAGGGAAGAACAAAUGUGUAAGUAACUAUGCACGUCUUGACGGUACCUAAUCAGAAAGCCACGGCUAACUACGUG
rnacentral:rRNA from 1 species